rnacentral:rRNA from 1 species
AUUGAACGCUGGCGGCAGGCUUAAACACAUGCACGUCGAACGGUAGCAGGAGAAAGCUUGCUUUCCUUGCUGACGAGUGGCGGACGGGUGAGUAAUGCUUGGGAAUCUGGCUUAUGGAGGGGGAUAACGACGGGAAAACUGUCGCUAAUACCGCGUAUCAUCGGAAGAUGAAAGUGCGGGACUGAGAGGCCGCAUGCCAUAGGAUGAGCCCAAGUGGGAUUAGGUAGUUGGUGGGGUAAAUGCCUACCAAGCCUGCGAUCUCUAGCUGGUCUGAGAGGAUGACCAGCCACACUGGAACUGAGACACGGUCCAGACUCCUCCUGGAGGCAGCAGUGGGGAAUAUUGCGCAAUGGGGGGAACCCUGACGCAGCCAUGCCGCGUGAAUGAAGAAGGCCUUAGGGUUGUAAAGUUCUUUCGGUAUUGAGGAAGGUUGAUGUGUUAAUAGCACAUCAAAUUGACGUUAAAUACAGAAGAAGCACCGGCUAACUCCGUGCCAGCAGCCGCGGUAAUACGGAGGGUGCGAGCGUUAAUCGGAAUAACUGGGCGUAAAGGGCACGCAGGCGGUUAUUUAAGUGAGGUGUGAAAGCCCCGGGCUUAACCUGGGAAUUGCAUUUCAGACUGGGUAACUAGAGUACUUUAGGGAGGGGUAGAAUUCCACGUGUAGCGGUGAAAUGCGUAGAGAUGUGGAGGAAUACUGAAGGCGAAGGCAGCCCCUUGGGAAUGUACUGACGCUCAUGUGCGAAAGCGUGGGGAGCAAACAGG